AUUUGCCAACUUACCCCUUUUAGCAAAAGUCAUUAUCUCUUGUGUAAUAGUUUGCUUCCAUGGGUUAGGGAAUUGACCAUGUUUUUCCAUGUAUCAUUUUCCACUAUAAAUACCACACCAUCUCUACCCUUAAUUCUUUUGUUCUUCCACAAAAUCCCUAAACAAAAAUUUAUCUCAUGGUGAGGAUGCAAGUAAGUGCUUGAAGAAGGAAGUCAAGUUUCUACACACUACCUUGCUUCCAUAUUUUCCUCAAGGUUGAGCAAGUGAUGAAAUGGUGGCUGAGUGGAGUUGGUGGUCGUCUCAUCUCUUUUGUAGGAUUUUCGUGGCAUGUGUCUUCAUACAUAUGACCAUGUGGUUACAACUCCUUCCGCUGUGCAUGAUAGUAGUAUUUUGUAAUGUAUGGGUCGUAAGAACAAUGUCUAGUAUCGAGUGACCUUUGAUAAACAUUCUUGAUUUUAUGAUCCUUCGUUGUCUUGCGAACCUCUCUUAUCUUAUGAAAAAGUACUUGUGUGUC